UUCCAUUACUUCGCCGUUGGGUGACGCUUCAAUCACCCUUAACCGUUUACUUUGCCGCAGUGGACCAGUACUCAUCUACACCCGAUCAUUCAGGAUCGACGAACGGGUUAAAAUAGGUCUACUGGGGGAGUAGACCUAUUAUAACCCGCAUAAAACAAGACAAGAUCCGCUCUCUUACUUGAGUUGUGGACGUUCAAACGAAUAAGAAGCUCGGCCAGGCCUGUGGUCCUAUACCCAAGCAAUUUAAGGUACCAAUACUCGCUGGUCACACCUUCCAAGCACCUCUCAACAGCACCUGCCUCUUAAUUUCUUACUCUCUCACUUCGUCCCCUAACAACUCAGAAUCAAGCCCAAUGAUCUUACCUUAUUUUACCAGGAAGGUCUACCCUGCAUCUCCACCAUGUAACGAGUUAUCGCCGAUGGGUUUGGAGAAUCAAUAUCGGUGUAUUCAAUCUUUUCAACACUCAAGCACUACACAAAUCUUUCAGACGUGGGAAAGAGUCAGUCGGCGAAUCCGAUGCAUCAGCAAUCGGAUGACACUCGAAUGACACUUCCGUCGGUCGUUUGUCUAUCCGUUACAGCUAUAACGGAUGGCGAGAGUUCUCUUACAAUGAUGCGUGAACGUUACAAUAUUAUUCAUAAAAGUACAUGGCGAUGAAAAUCCAAUGGCUUGUUUUACUUUCUGCUUCACGGUUUCAUUGAUCAAGGAAGUUGCUACUUUCAUGACAUAUUGCACAUUAACUCGAGUUAGUUUUUGUUCGUUAGCAUGUUUAGAACAAAAUCUGCACCAAGGUAUUGUAAAUCAACAUCUGGUUUUGCUAAUUCAACAUGUGUAGAAGCCCGUUCACAGUCUUAAAACUUCUGCUUAAUAAACGGUUAACUUAACUUAA